rnacentral:rRNA from 1 species
GAUCCUGGCUCAGGAUGAACGCUAGCUACAGGCUUAANACAUGCAAGUCGAGGGCAGCAGGGAUUUAGCUUGCUAAAUUCGCUGGCGACCGGCGCACGGGUGCGUAACGCGUAUCCAACCUUCCCGUUACUCAGGGAUAGCCUUCCGAAAGGGAGAUUAAUACAAGAUGGUAUUCAAAUUCCGCAUGUUAUUUGAAUUAAAGAUUCAUCGGUAACGGAUGGGGAUGCGUGACAUUAGGUAGAUGGCGGGGUAACGGCCCACCAUGCCCACGAUGUCUAGGGGUUCUGAGAGGAAGGUCCCCCACACUGGAACUGAGACACGGUCCAGACUCCUACGGGAGGCAGCAGUGAGGAAUAUUGGUCAAUGGCCGGAAGGCUGAACCAGCCAAGUAGCGUGAAGGAUGAAGGUUCUAUGGAUUGUAAACUUCUUUUAUACGGGAAUAAAACCACCUACGUGUAGGUGCUUGUAUGUACCGUAUGAAUAAGCAUCGGCUAACUCCGUG